rnacentral:tRNA from 2 species
GCCUGGAUAGCUCAGUGGUAGAGCACGUCAUUGGUAAUGACGCGACGAGAGUCCGAUUCUCUCCCCAGGCU